CUCUGCACCAGCACCCACAGCAGAUGCAGCCAGAAGGUGCAAAUAAAGAAAUCAAAACAUACAAUCUGACAUUCAGGUGCACAGCUUUUCUUCAAGACACUCUUCCUAUUAGAGCGUAAGAAAGAAAGAAAUCCUCCCUGACUGGGAAACACGUG